UCCUGAGCCAAUGUGGGCUCCACCACAUA
rnacentral:sRNA from 1 species